AUUGAACGCUGGCGGCAGGCCUAGCACAUGCAAGUCGAACGGUAGCACAGAGAGCUUGCUCUCGGGUGACGAGUGGCGGACGGGUGAGUAAUGUCUGGGAAACUGCCCGAUGGAGGGGGAUAACUACUGGAAACGGUAGCUAAUACCGCAUAACGUCGCAGGACCAAAGUGGGGGACCUUCGGGCCUCACACCAUCGGAUGUGCCCAGAUGGGAUUAGCUAGUAGGUGGGGUAAGGGCUCACCUAGGCGACGAUCCCUAGCUGGUCUGAGAGGAUGACCAGCCACACUGGAACUGAGACACGGUCCAGACUCCUACGGGAGGCAGCAGUGGGGAAUAUUGCACAAUGGGCGCAAGCCUGAUGCAGCCAUGCCGCGUGUAUGAAGAAGGCCUUCGGGUUGUAAAGUACUUUCAGCGGGGAGGAAGGCGGUGAGGUUAAUAACCUCGCCGAUUGACGUUACCCGCAGAAGAAGCACCGGCUAACUCCGUGCCAGCCGCCGCCGUAA
rnacentral:rRNA from 1 species